UUCUGCCACCGAAUACAUUAGCAUGGGAUAAUGGAAUAGGACCCUGUCCUCCUAUUUUCAGUUGGUUUUGGCAGCGCGAGGACUAGGGUAAUGAUUAAUAGGGAUAGUUGGGGGCAUUAAUAUUUAAUUGUCAGAGGUGAAAUUCUUGGAUUUAUGAAAGAUUAACUUCUGCGAAAGCAUCUGCCAAGGAUGUUUUCAUUAAUCAAGAACGAAAGUUAGGGGAUCGAAGACGAUCAGAUACCGUCGUAGUCUUAACCAUAAACGAUGCCGACCAGCGAUUAGGAGACGUUGAAUACAAAACACCACCAUCGGCGCGGUCGUCCUUGGCGCGUUCGUGUUCACGCACGGGCGCGCGAGGGCGGUUUAGCCCGGUGGCACCGGUGAAUGACUCCCCUAGCAGCUUGUGAGA
rnacentral:rRNA from 1 species